rnacentral:rRNA from 1 species
GACAGAGGUGCCAAGCGUUAGGCGGAAUCACUGGGCUUAAAGCGUGUGUAGGCGGAUGUCUAAGUACCUUGUGAAAUCCCACGGCUCAACCGUGGAACUGCUUGGUAUACUGGAUGUCUUGAGCCAUCUAGGGGCUACCGGAACAAAUGGUGGAGCGGUGAAAUGCGUAGAUAUCAUUUGGAACGCCAAUGGUGAAAACAGGUAGCUGGGGGAUGUGCUGACGCUGAGACACGAAAGCCAGGGGAGCAAACGGG